GGGAACCAGCAGAGGGCACUUCAGGCUUUGCUUYUGUGGAUCCUGCAGCAAUGACUGCUUGGAAUAGUUAAAGGCAAGCUGGCUGGUUUAGGGAACAGUCUCUCCCGAGGAACCUUUAUUUGGGCAGUAUCCACUUGCARUAGGACAUGCCUGUGCUGGGCCUUCGAUCCCAAAAUCCAGCCCAGCAGCACAUCCACAGGGCCAUCAGCUGAAUGGGUUCCAGGUUCCAUCUGAAGUCCCAAUAUUUGCCUGGAAAUCCAUAGGAGAAGCAGGCGGGCCCGCUCAGAGUGUUGUAAAUUAGUUCCAGUCUCCACGAGCCUGCUGUGACUAAUUGAUGUGACCUGGAAGUGGAUAAAGUCCAUAACAGUAAGAUCAACUUUUCCUCUGGUAAUUUGACAAAUAGAGCCCUUUUUUAAAGUCCUGUGUAGGCUCCGUUCCCCAUUUGUUCUGUCGUGAUGGGCAUCGUUUCCGUGUUGGAGUGAUAAUGAUUUUCCAGAUUUCUGCUGAUUUGUAGAGCAGGUGCCUUUAUUUAUUAAUGCCAGAAGAAGGGAGAGACUCAACAGCACCAACAAAAACAGGAUUCCUGGCAGYAGCUGGAUAUCAAAGCCAUUCCCUAUCCAGUUACCUUGCUGGUUUCCCUCCUCCUGCACUACAGGGAUGUGCAGGAAGGCCGGUGGUUUGCAGAGUCGCUCCAGCUCAUUAAUUUCCUACAGCCAGAGGGAAAUCAGGAAAUCUCAGUGYUGUGUGGGCUUUGACUCUUGCAGAAGGGGCUGCUGGAAUGGGACCUGCGCAGUGGAAGCUCCUGGAAACUCCAUGUUGCUGCCUAGUUAAUUUUUUAAGAAAAACUUUAGGCAGUCCCUGUAAGUAUGCAAUUGACUGCAAGUAAAUCCAUGCUGCUUUUUGCAUGGGCRGGGAUUUAAGGAAUUUCUCUGUCUCCAGCCCCUUCCAAGCCGGCAUCCCACCCAUCCUCUCCCAUCCCCACCAACUCUUGUCGUGCUCCAAAAUAGUCUCAYUGUGACUAUAAUUCCCCCCCAGGGGAGUCCAGUCCCUAUUUAUUUGUGCUCCAGUGGGAUGUGAACCUUGGUCUUCCAGGGUGAAAGGUUGAGGGAUGAGUGUCUUGUUUACCUGUGCUUUUCAGAGAAUGUUUUCCUUUAAUCUAUUAAGCAGACACACCAUUUUGUCCCGUGGUGUGCAACGGGAUCGUUAACCAUGCGCUUAAUUACUACCAAACCACAUCUGAGUGCCCGAUGGCAGCAGGCAGGAGGGUCUAGCAAGGCUCCUUCACCUCAGGGUUUAAUAGAAUCAUCUUUCUAUGAGUUCCUGCGACAUCUCCCUGAUUUAUACACGGCUUGAGUGAUGGAUAAAACCACAUUGGAUAGUUUCACAUCAACUCUGAACCGAUAGCUGAGGGCAAACUGGGAGUGAAUGAAGAGAAACCAAAUUGUCAGUGGAUCUUAAAAUCCAAAUUGGAGCCUUUGGAAGGUUAUUUUCAAUACCAAAAAUCCAAAUCGGAUUUUUUGGRAGGUUAUUUUAAAAACCCCAAGACCUGAGUUAAUUCAACCACUGUAGCACUGCUGCCUUUAACACACCUGAGGAUUUCUCUUCUCUGAAGCUCUUAUGCUCAGACAUUCACAUCCCAAAGGUGACAUUUGGGCUUAAUUUUUUGGCAGUGCUGCAGAACUGUUGUAUACAUUAAUCAGCCAAGGUAUAGGGCUCGGGCACAUCCUCCACCAGGCACAGACACAAUAGCAUGGAGAAAGCCCAGCAAACACAGCUGGUGAACAUAUUUACCAUCCACUGGUUAGUCACACUUGUGGAGUUUUAAUUGAAUUACCUUUGACAGUGAGCAGCAAACCUGGUGGGUGAUCUACUAAAUUUAACUGAUGAAUGGGCUCCCUAAAAUCAAUUAGCAUCCAGGGCUGGGAGCAUGAACACAUCCGUCGCUCGGCGGGACGGGAGCGGGCUCGGAAUGACAGCAGCAAAUGUUGGCCAAGUGAAAGCACGGAUCUCCUGCCGCCGCUGACCCCUGCUCCCCACAUGAAAGAAAAACAGGAGCCUAACAGGAGCUGAAAGAAUCCGACAGUAAAUCAUUUAAGCCCUGUUUUGCACAACUGAUACAGGAUGCUUCUAAACUGCUUGAUUAAUGCUGUGCAGUAUAUUAAAAGCAGGACGUGGCAGAGCGAGGAGUCUGUGGCCAAGCACCAGCUCCACAAACACCAUCUGCUCGCUUAAUUAUUUUUGGGAGAUUYGGGAUAGCGGGGAGCCAGGAGAGAGUUAGAAACGGCCUUUCCUUUCGUUACAGCGAUCGGGCCCUGUCUGUGGGCACACAGAAGCCCCCCCAGUCUUCAGGUUGUUUGUUAUGUGAAUAAUCAAGCAAUGGCAAAAUGCAGGCUGGAGGUUCCUCUGACCUUUGGCUCGGCGCAACCCGACCCUGCGCGGGGCUCAGGCGG